rnacentral:rRNA from 1 species
AAUGAACGUUGGCGGCAUGGAUUAGGCAUGCAAGUCGAGCGAGAAGUGUAGCAAUACACGGAAAGCGGCGGAAGGGAGAGUAAUACGUGGGAAUCUGCCCUUAGACCUGGGAUAGCAGCGGGAAACUGCUGGUAAUACCAGAUAAUGUCUAUGGACCAAAGGUGUGAUUCCGUCUAGGGAUGAGCACACGUCCUAUUAGCUAGUUGGUAGGGUAAUGGCCUACCAAGGCGAUGAUGGGUAGCGGGUGUGAGAGCAUGACCCGCCUCACUGGGCCUGAGACACUGCCCAGACACCUACGGGUGGCUGCAGUCGGGAAUCUUCGGCAAUGGGCGCAAGCCUGACCGAGCGAUGCCGCGUGCGGGAUGAAGGCCUUCGGGUUGUAAACCGCUGUUGAGGGGGAGCAACUUCCAUAGAGUUAUCUUUAUGGAUUGAGUGAUCCCUGGAGGAAGGACGGGCUAAGUUCGUGCCAGCCGCCGCCGUAAGAC